rnacentral:rRNA from 1 species
UACGGGGGGGGUAAGCGUUGUUCGGAAUUACUGGGCGUAAAGGGCGCGUAGGCGGCCUGUUAAGUCGAACGUGAAAUCCCCGGGCUCAACCCGGGAACUGCGUCCGAUACUGGCAGGCUUGAAUUCGGGAGAGGGAUGCGGAAUUCCAGGUGUAGCGGUGAAAUGCGUAGAUAUCUGGAGGAACACCGGUGGCGAAGGCGGCAUCCUGGACCGAGAUUGACGCUGAGGCGCGAAAGCCAGGGGAGCAAACGGG